CGACCCCAGGUCAGGCGGGGCCACCCGCUGAAUUUAAGCAUAUCAAUAAGCGGAGGAGAAGAAACUUACAAGGAUUCCCCUAGUAACGGCGAGCGAACCGGGAUCAGCCCAGCUUGAGAUCGGACGGCCUCGCCGUCCGA
rnacentral:rRNA from 1 species